UAACUGAAGCUGUGUGUCGACUCUAGAUCGUUCCUCUUUAGGUCCAAAGAUUAUUACUUCAGUUUUGUUUGUUUUGAUCCCAAAGACAGGUGCAGAUCUACAAAAGAACAGCUAAAAAAAGUCAAGAUAGCCUAGUCAAAGUCUUCGAAAACUGAAAACAAAUGUCUGCAAAUCUACAGUUUCUGUAGAGUCAUGGUCAGAUCCACAUACAUUAAGAUAAUAAAGAGCAGAUCUAUUUUAUGAUGUUCUAACAGACUUAACAAAGGUUGUACUUUCUUUUUACCAAGACUUUGCAGCAAGAUAUAAAGCAACAAUCACCAGUUUUUGUCUCCAGCCUCUGAAAACCUUACAUUUAUUGAUCAAAAUUAUGGGUUGCAAGAAUAUUUUGCUUUCAAGAGCCAAACAGAAGGCAGCAGUGGCAGCAGGAGGGAAGAAUUAAGGCCUAAUAUUCAGGAAAACAUAAAGAGUUUUCAGGUCUUGAGUGUUUGUGGCAACAGGGAGUCCUUGAACGCCUCCAGUAAGAUCUGGUAAAACUUUAAAACUCAUGUUUGAUCGACAAACAGAAAGACCUUGAUGCCACAAAAAGCUUUUUGUGAUGGAAAAGAAAGUCUUCAUCACGUCUAAAGGGGGUCUGGGGGGACAGCAGGCGCUGCCGCCACCGCUGCUCAACACCCCCACCCUCCAUGAUGGAGUACCACUAUAAAUAGCCUCAGGUUGUAUCUGGGCAGGAAUAAUCUCCCUGCGCUUUAAUAAGGGAGGAGCAGGUAGAUGGAAACGGCUUCUGCUUUCACACAUCUGGACAUGAAGGUGGAAACAGCAGGUUGGUUGAGAUGAAGCAUCAGUUCAGGUAACUCCCUCACAUGUCAGAGAUCUUCCGGGUCGCCUGAAUUAAAACGUGUGGCAUUGUUCUGAGGAAGACCUCCGAUGGAAACCCAACACCAUUACUGUGUUCAUUACCGCGGAGCAGAGCAGCAGCGGCGGGCCGAAGGCUUCCCUCCACGGAUAUCAGACAGCCUGAGCGUGCCAAGAAGUUUGAUUUUUGUAUUUUUUUUAUGACAGCACAUAGUCUAGUUUUUGAGGAAGCCUAUUACUGUCCUCCCACACACACCCAUCAGCAGCAGGCACACCAAGACCUCAAUAACCCUCCACACACACACAGGGAGGCUGACUGGGUCCAUUUAGGCCUGCAGUGACGCCUCCAGAGCGCUACUGCCAUCAAGUGGCGGCACACCGGAACUGCAUCCGCUGUAACUAUGGAAGCACGUUGAGAGGCUGUUACUUGCCAACCGCUAAUGAACGUUAAAUAAGAGUUUGUUUUAUUUUAGAAGAAGAGAAAGUAUCUUUCCAUCUCUUUAAAGCUCCACCUUCUCCUCUGAUUCUAACAGAUUUAAGGUUUAAUUUAGUUUCUCACCUCUGAUUGGAGCUGGAUGGUUUCUGGAGGAAUCAGAUCCUGGAGCAGCUGCUGCUCAUCAGCUCUGACAGAAACGCUGAAUACUGGGAAUCAUUUGGCAAGAAAAUCAAACAGGAAGCUGCGUUUGUCUGCAGGGUGAGAAUAUCGGUACGUUAAAGACGCAGAUUUCUCAGUGGGAGUGAAACAGUAAAGGUCUCUGCUGCUCCUGACUUACAGAAAGAAGCUUUAAAUAAAAAAGAGGCACUUCUUCUUCUUCUUCACAGCUCCUCCGGUGUGCUUUUAUAUACAAACAUGCAGAAAAUAAGUCAGUCUUUGUCUACAAAGGCAAAAAGAAAGUUUUAAAAGAAGUGAUGAACUCUGAAAAACUCAGUUUGAUUAUUAGUUGGUUUUUUUGCAGGUCUGGAUGCAUAAAAAUCUGAUUUUAGAGGAAUUUCUGCUCAUAUUUAAUACAUUUUUAUGCUUUGCCACUGAAUUUGAUUUAUUAUUCACUAAACUGUCUCAUCUACUUGAUUUAUUUGUCCUUUAAAAUAAUCAGCUAAGGCACUUUUCCUCCCAAAAGCCAAAUUAAUGAACCUUUCUUUUGUUUUCUAUCCACAGUUUACUUCAUUUCUAAUAAGGAAAUAUGUCAAAAAAUACCUGGAAGGAUCACAGUGAGGAUGGAUUCAGCACAGAUUCGCUCCAAACAUGUAAAUGUUUAAAAAUCUUCCAGUUUGAUUUGUUUUUAUGAAGUUAAACGCAGCCAGCAGUCUUCUUCCUCUUCCUCUUCCUCGUUUAGGAUAAUUUAAAUCAGGAAUGAAAGGAUAAAAUGGAGUCUGCAGCAGGUAAAAUAGUGACGACUCAUAGUUACUCCACAGAACCCCAGUCUAGAAAAAGCACAAAGUGUUUUUCAUUUUAACUCAGAGGAAAAUCACCACAGGUUGAAACAUCCUGGUCAGAUUUUUAUAUUUUCAGGCCUGCAGCCAAACUGCUUCAUCAGCGAUUAAAGGUCAGAACUCACAUUAUUUAUUAGCAAAAAAGAACAAAGUCGUAUAAAGUAUUAAAUUAGCAUCCAUGAUCCAACCAGUAGGUUGAAACCAGUUUGGUGUUUUUAGCAGCCAGUCUGCAGAAAAACAGAACCGUUAAUCUUCUUUUCAUCACUUCUUUUAAAGGUUGAAUACGACCCAGAUGAAUUAACUGAAACAUCUUCCAGGAAGAAGCACAUUUCCAUGUGAACGUCCUUCACAGUCCAGCGGCAGUAAAUACAGUGCAAAGGGAGGAGAAGGUGGGUUGGAUUUAUUCACCUGGAGGAGUUUAAACCACAACAAGCACCUCCGCUUCAAGUUACUGCUGGAAAAACUGAACCAAAAGAGAAAAACCUCCAAUAACUUAAGAGGAUCCGGGCGGGCGGACUCCGGCUCCUGGCUCUGCUCUCCGUGGGACAUGGCCACCGCCUCGUACUCGGCCGCCGCCGGGCCGCUAGGAGCCUGGCAACGAGAGGAAAACAGGAUGACGGCGGCUGGAAGGUGGGCGCUUCCUGCAGGGGGCGCCAGAGCAAAACAACAAACACAAACCAGCAGCUACUAGAACCCGUCUACCCGGAAGAACACGGCACAAUCCAACUCAGACCGGGUAAAUAAUCCAGCACCAAACCGUCACUCAGUCUGCCCCAACGGGCCUUCAUCACAUGAUGAUGAGGAGGAUCUGAGGGGCGUUUCUGCUCCAGCUUCAUCACAUGAUGAUGAGGAGGAUCUGAGGGGCGUUUUUGCUCCAGCUUCAUCACUUGAUGAUGAGGAGGAUCUGAGGGGCGUUUCUGCUCCAGCUUCAUCACUUGAUGAUGAGGAGGAUCUGAGGGGCGUUUCUGCUCCAGCUUCAUCACUUGAUGAUGAGGAGGAUCUGAGGGGCGUUUCUGCUCCAGCUUCAUCACUUGAUGAUGAGGAGGAUCUGAGGGGCGUUUCUGCUCCAGCUUCAUCACUUGAUGAUGAGGAGGAUCUGAGGGGCGUUUUUGCUCCAGCUUCAUCACUUGAUGAUGAGGAGGAUCUGAGGGGCGUUUUUGCUCCAGCUUCAUCACUUGAUGAUGAGGAGGAUCUGAGGGGCGUUUCUGCUCCAGCUUCAUCACAUGAUGAUGAGGAGGAUCUGAGGGGCGUUUCUGCUCCAGCUUCAUCACAUGAUGAUGAGGAGGAUCUGAGGGGCGUUUUUGCUCCAGCUUCAUCACUUGAUGAUGAGGAGGAUCUGAGGGGCGUUUCUGCUCCAGCUUCAUCACAUGAUGAUGAGGAGGAUCUGAGGGGCGUUUUUGCUCCAGCUUCAUCACUUGAUGAUGAGGAGGAUCUGAGGGGCGUUUUUGCUCCAGCUUCAUCACUUGAUGAUGAGGAGGAUCUGAGGGGCGUUUCUGCUCCAGCUUCAUCACAUGAUGAUGAGGAGGAUCUGAGGGGCGUUUCUGCUCCAGCUUCAUCACAUGAUGAUGAGGAGGAUCUGAGGGGCGUUUUUGCUCCAGCUUCAUCACUUGAUGAUGAGGAGGAUCUGAGGGGCGUUUCUGCUCCAGCUUCAUCACAUGAUGAUGAGGAGGAUCUGAGGGGCGUUUUUGCUCCAGCUUCAUCACUUGAUGAUGAGGAGGAUCUGAGGGGCGUUUCUGCUCCAGCUUCAUCACUUGAUGAUGAGGAGGAUCUGAGGGGCGUUUCUGCUCCAGCUUCAUCACUUGAUGAUGAGGAGGAUCUGAGGGGCGUUUUUGCUCCAGCUUCAUCACUUGAUGAUGAGGAGGAUCUGAGGGGCGUUUCUGCUCCAGCUUCAUCACUUGAUGAUGAGGAGGAUCUGAGGGGCGUUUCUGCUCCAGCUUCAUCACUUGAUGAUGAGGAGGAUCUGAGGGGCGUUUCUGCUCCAGCUUCAUCACUUGAUGAUGAGGAGGAUCUGAGGGGCGUUUCUGCUCCAGCUUCAUCACUUGAUGAUGAGGAGGAUCUGAGGGGCGUUUCUGCUCCAGCUUCAUCACAAUCAACCAACCUGAUUCAUUCCAGCCGUUCAAACCCAAACAUGAUGCAGAAUUAUUGGAUUAUUAUUAACUACCAAUAAGUGAUGAGACAUGAUCCCGGAAAAUGUAAUUUAUUGAUAAUAAUACAAGUUUGUCAGAAAAACCAAUAAACAUAUCACUAUUAUGUC